rnacentral:rRNA from 1 species
GACGAACGCUGGCGGCGUGCUUAACACAUGCAAGUCGAACGCUGAAGCUUGGUGCUUGCACUGGGUGGAUGAGUGGCGAACGGGUGAGUAAUACGUGAGUAACCUGCCCUUGACUCUGGGAUAAGCCUGGGAAACUGGGUCUAAUACUGGAUACGACAUGUCACCGCAUGGUGGUGUGUGGAAAGGGUUUUACUGGUUUUGGAUGGGCUCACGGCCUAUCAGCUUGUUGGUGGGGUAAUGGCUCACCAAGGCGACGACGGGUAGCCGGCCUGAGAGGGUGACCGGCCACACUGGGACUGAGACACGGCCCAGACUCCUACGGGAGGCAGCAGUGGGGAAUAUUGCACAAUGGGCGAAAGCCUGAUGCAGCGACGCCGCGUGAGUGAUGACGGCCUUCGGGUUGUAAACCUCUUUCAGCACGGAAGAAGCGAAAGUGACGGUACGUGCAGAAGAAGCGCCGGCUAACUACGUG